GUUCCUACGGGAGGCAGCAGUGAGGAAUAUUGGUCAAUGGGCGGGAGCCUGAACCAGCCAAGCCGCGUGAGGGAAGAAGGUACAGCGUAUCGUAAACCUCUUUUGUCAGGGAACAAAGGCGGGGACUAGUCCCCGGAUGAGGGUACCUGAAGAAAAAGCAUCGGCUAACUCCGUGCCAGCAGCCGCGGUAAUACGGAGGAUGCGAGCGUUAUCCGGAUUUAUUGGGUUUAAAGGGUGCGUAGGCGGUUUGUCAAGUCAGCGGUAAAAAUUCCGGGCUCAACCCGGUCCCGCCGUUGAAACUGGCG
rnacentral:rRNA from 1 species